GAUGAGGGCCUCAGGGGCCAGAAGAAGAGAGCCCCGAGUUAGCAGCUGGCUCCGUCUGGCCAGGAGAGGCCCUCCACCAAGCCAGGCUGCAGCCAGAAGGCCCUCCCAGGUGCCACCCGGAUGCCAGUCAUACGCUCCUGGACUUUGCAGCCUUCAGAAUCAUCAGCCGCCUACUUUUCUAAUCUUGACCCUGGUCUCAGGUAAUUUUUAAAUAGUAACAGAGAAAAGAUGAAGCAUGGAAGACACUUUAUAAAAACCGAAAUAUAGCUCCUGCACUUUUCUCAAGCUAGGGUAGAACUGGUAUGAUAGUUCAAUGUGGAGGAAAAAGCCAGAGAAAUUACAGAAGAAUUGGUUUUUUUUCUUUUCAACUUUAUAUGAUAAUUCAAACACACACACACACACACACACACACAUGCACUCACGCACACACACACACACACACCAGCAAACCUGAACCCCGGAACCAGGGAGCUUGUCACAGAAGACCCUAGCCUGACCUACUUUCUCACAGAGCAACUGUUCUGCCCAGCAGCCAAUCAUCACUCCAUCGUCACUCAGGGAGGAUUUCACAGGAGGUGAAGGCUAGUGGGGAAGAGCAGAGCUUUCCUAUCCUAACAUACCAAGGGUAAAUCUGGGAGAAGGCAACACAACACUGUUGGAACCCAUGCCCACAAAGAGGUCCUACCAAAUACAAAGCUAUUACGACACUAAAAAGGCUUGUAACAUCAGGUAGCCUAAUGGUUAGAGCAGGGUCUCAGCUUGGGCGCUAUUGACAAUAGAGGCUAAUUCUUUGUCGUGGGGACUGUCCUGUCCGUUGUAGAUGCCAGGAGCAGUCAAAUAUAUCUCUAGACGUUGUUUAGUGACCCCCGGAGUUGGGGGUAAGGUAAAGACACUCCUGGCCAAGAAUAGUUGAGUUAGACUAAAAACGGGCUGGUGGGAUCCACAUCCAGAUCUGUCACCUCCCAGCUCGACGAUCUCGGUUACUCUUAGUCCCCCUGGAGCUUAAUUUCUCCAUUUGUAAAGACAGGACGGUGUGGUGGACUGUGGUUCAUAUCCCUCCAAGGUUCCCGUGUGGGGACCUUGCCCCCAGAGUGGAGUGUUGGAACACGGUGUGGACGUUUAAGGGGUGAGGCCUAGUGGACAUCCGUAGGUCACUGGGGGCAUGGCGGAGAGGAAUUGUGAAACCCGUCUUCCUCUGCUGCCUGGCGCCAGAUGUGACUGCUCGCUCUGACACUUGCUCCCAUUAUUACCAUCCUCCAUCCGCCAUCCGCCAUGACAUCUUCACCAGAAUGUCGAUGCAGGCACCGUGUCCUUGGACCUCCCAAACCGUGAGCCCAGUAAACUUCCUUUUUUCAAAACAGCCUAUGUCAGGUAUUUUGUAAAAAUGAUGAAAAGCAAACCAACAGGGAUGUGUCACAGGAUUACUAUAGGAUUAAGUACUUGAAUACGCACCAUGCAGGACAAAGUAAAUGUUCAAGAAACCUACACUAUUUUGAGGAUGAUAAUGAUACCCUCUCACCUGAGUUAAAACACCAUAACCAACAGCCUGGAUCCAUUCACUGGUAAAAAGAGGAAAGACAGACUUCAUCUCCUGUAAAAUCACAUGGGGACACAUUCUGCUGUGGUGAUGGAGAGCCCUGAUGUGCCCUACAUUCAUGCUUAGCUAGAAGAAAAGCACCACACACAUCGGAUUAGCAGAGAAGCUCUGGAAAUUCUGAAGGACUCAGGCUUAAUAGGGGCUCGGGAAUCUGGACAACAACAGGGCCCAGUGUAAACACAGUAAAAACAGAACAGAAGGCCUUUUAGAAAAGCCGUAAGGCUAGAAAAAAUCCUCCCUUGCUGUAAAACAAACAAAAAAAAAAACAACCACCAUCUAAUUUAAGCGUCUCACUUAGAAGGACCCUGUAAGGUCAGAAGUCACUGCCCCUCCCUGCCAAAGACCACGGAGGCUCUGACCAUGGAGGCAACAUGUACAGGAUCCCUGAGGACAGAGGCAGGGCAGAGGCUGGGGCUGGGGGCGGGGGACAGGGGAGGGUCAUGGAAUAGUUAGGUGACUCAACAGCCACUGGCCUUUUGAUUGAUUUUACUAUGAAUACAUAAAUCAAGCAAGACGUGAACUUUAAACCGAUUGCAACACGUCGUGUUAUCAGUGUGUUCUCUGGUUAUUUAAUUUCUGAUCCGAUCUUAUCUCCUAUUUCCCAAGAUGCGUCUGAAAAGUUUCAUGCUCACAGAUAGAACUUCAAUCACCUUUUCUUUUCUCCUGCCAGGGCUCCGUGUUUUCAGAGCGUGUGUGGAUGGGGGGAAGUUUUAUAGAGCACAAGCUAGCACUUUUGGGGCCUCUCCCUUGCCUAUAGCAAAUUCCUUCUGGUUUGGAAGAAAAAUUCAUCUCUAUCAAGUUCCCCCCCCCCUGCUUUGGGGGGUAUUUCUUUAAUUGCCACAAUCACCCAAGGCUCUGGGUUUAUUUUUAUACAUUACUCAUCUGUUUAUUCAAUUUAUAUAUCAUUUGAUCUUGUGUGUAAGUCUUAAAAUUUCAGUUAUCAACUUGAGUGUUAUCAGGGUUAUUUUUCAUGCCAAAAGGCUCAGAAAUGCCAGUUGACUUAUGGACCUGGCUCUAGUUUUUCUUUUUUUUCCAAAGAUACGGUUAUUAGUCGGGGUUCUGGUAGGAAGGAGAUAGCUGUGUUGAAAAGACUUUUUAAAUGAAGCACUUUGGGCAGAAUUAUGGGGACCAGCAAGGGGUGCAGAGGCACCCUGAGCCCUGAAGGACCACAAGAGGCUGGGGACAGCAUUGUCAGAGUCUGAUAAGAAAUGAGCUGUGUGAGAGGGACCACCAACAGAAGGUACCAUAAGGGAACACAGCCACCAGCAACCUGUGGCGAGGCUGGAGGGAGCUGGCAGGAUACAUGCCCUUGGGUCUCUCCUCCCACCUCUUGAUUUCCUGAUGCUGCCUCCAAUUGGCCAGUCUGGAUGAUCCAAUCCAGAAAGAUCAAGUUUCCUGUCCCAGAGAAGGGCUGAGAGUAGAUUUGGAGUGAGGUGGGGAUAAGAUACACACAACAUCACUGACAUCAGCCUCUUCUGUACUGUUGGCUAUUGGAAUUCUCAUUAGGUUUUCAAUAGACAAGCGAUUCUCCAUAAAUUUUCAAUAGCUAUGGCACAGGUGAAAGUGUACCAAAUAUAUAUUUAUUAUCUUGAAGAAUUUCUCUUUGUUCCUGUUGAUCAGCCUGAUUCUCUGUAUAGGGUGGAUGGCUAUUGUGCUAGUCAGUUUUCUGUGACUGUGUCAAGAUACCUGAGAAAUCCACUUAAGAGUAAAAAGGUUUAUUUUGGCUUAUGGUUUCAGAGCUUUCAACCCAUGGUGGAUUUAGCCCUGUUGCUUUGGGCCUGUGGUGGCACAGUGCAUCAUAGCAGGGAGAAUGCAGGGGGCAUAGCUGCUUACCUCAUGGAAAUCAGGAAGCAAAGAAGGAGAGAAAGGGAGUUGAGUUCCAACAUCCUCUUCAAGGGCACACCUCCUAUGACCUGACUUCCUCUCAUUAGGCUCCACCCACUAAAGGUUCCACCACCUCCCAGGGGCACCAUGGGCUGGCAAGCAAGGCUGGCAACAUAAGCCUUUGGGGGGCAUUUAGGAACCAAACCAUAACACCUAUCUUAGAUGCUUUAAUGCCCCUGUCAUGGUAGAAAUGAUAACUCUCAGCCCCUAUUCCAGAUCUCCUGAGCCAGGAACUCGGAGAAUGAGGCUCAUCAAUCACUAAUGAGUCUGAAACGUGCCCAGGUCUGAAAAGCACUGGGCUGGAUGUUGUGGAGAACAUCUCCGAUGCUUCUCCCAAGCCACACCUUUUUGUUCCAGGUGUCACUGUGGCAACUGGCAGCACACAGGUGUAGCCUGGCCCCACCUCCCCUCAGCUGCACCAGUGUUGCUUCUCUGCCUCGGGCUCCUCCACUGCCGCAUGUGGGACGACUGGGAGGGCCUGCUCCACCGUCCAGGCAUGUGCAAACCUGGAAACGCUGAGCAGCUAAUGAGCAGCCCUGGGGCAGCCCUGGACCAGUCCACGUUGGGAGCCAGUGGAGCAAUUCUUCCCCUGCGGUCUUGGGGCGAAGGUGAAUUCUACGUGGUUCUUCAGAGGGGCUCAGUGGGACUGAGACCCAUUUCUCCAAAACACCAACGAGCGUGGCAGUUACCUAUGGGCAGCGUUCCCUUUUCUGAUUCUCUUCAUUUUUUUGCUUCCCUAUGUCAUUUCCCAAAAU
rnacentral:lncRNA from 1 species